GUGGUAAUGCCGGAUGUUCCAGUUGAUCGCAUGGUCUUCUGGGAAAGCUUUCGCGGUAUGGGAUGGGGUCGCGUCCUAUCAGCUUGACGGCGGGGUAACGGCCCACCGUGGCUUCGACGGGUAGCCGGCCUGAGAGGGCGACCGGCCACAUUGGGACUGAGAUACGGCCCAGACUCCUACGGGAGGCAGCAGUGGGGAAUAUUGCACAAUGGGCGCAAGCCUGAUGCAGCGACGCCGCGUGAGGGAUGGAGGCCUUCGGGUUGUAAACCUCUUUUAUCGGGGAGCAAGCGAGAGUGAGUUUACCCGUUGAAUAAGCACCGGCUAACUACGUGCCAGCAGCCGCGGUAAUACGUAGGGUGCAAGCGUUAUCCGGAAUUAUUGGGCGUAAAGGGCUCGUAGGCGGUUCGUCGCGUCCGGUGUGAAAGUCCAUCGCUUAACGGUGGAUCCGCGCCGGGUACGGGCGGGCUUGAGUGCGGUAGGGGAGACUGGAAUUCCCGGUGUAACGGUGGAAUGUGUAGAUAUC
rnacentral:rRNA from 2 species